UAACAAUGGGAUAUAAAUGUACGCAAAGGU
rnacentral:piRNA from 1 species